CUUUUUACCUUUUUUACGAGCAACAGCUCAAAGAUCCAGCCAACGCUAUAAUGAAGAAGAGUGAUUUCCUCCCUGGGAACAAUCGGAGGACAUGAUGUAAAACGUGCAACGUGGAACAUCCUCGCACGCAUGUUCACUGAUGAUGUUGGCAAGUCCAUAAAUUGGAAAGGGAUUAAUGGCAAAAAAUCUUUCAAUCUAAUGACGUCCAAGACUUUGCUCCUGCAUGCCGUCAGAAAGAAUCACUCGACACAUGCGUCCACUGACGACCAGGUCCUUAAGCACGCCAUUCGGUGGUUCAACCUGGCAGCAGACCGGGGUGGCUCCAGGAGGCGUGCUACUGUCGACGUCCCCCACACUGAACAGACUUAAAAUAUAUCUUUUUUAAGUGUGUGUGUAUAUAAUUUUGUCCUUUCAAAUAAA